UGUCCCGGUGUACUUUCAGGGCUGUUUAAGGCUCUUAAGGGAAUCUCUCCAUCUGACAGACACAGUUUAAUGUUCCAUAUCAACAAGGUCUUCUAUAACAAGGACUCUAAGUCAGAAUCCCAGAGGAUUCUGGGUGUUUGUGGUUUCAGUCGGGGGUGAGGGGAAGAGUCCACUCUCAUUCAUAGCAGGAAAAACUUUCCAUUCCUCAGACCCAGAGACUUCCUGGAUUCCAGAGACGGUCCCCAUUAAGUGUAACACUGUUGCUAUGCACACCAUCCUAAGUCAUUUGGUUAUUACAAGGAAUGCUUUUUCACCAAAUCACAAGUUUUCUAUGACCAAUUUCAGUGAACCAGUUAAAUAGAAGGAUUUUUAGAAAGAGCCACCGUGAUAGCAAUUCUAGGUGGAAACUUGAGCAGGCAACAUGAAGAGGCAGUUUAUAAAAUGAAAAACGACUGUGGUUCCACUGACACCCUACAUUUUCUUGGACGAAACACCAGGAGGCUUGUUCACUGUGAGGGAGACAAUGCUCACAAGAGCUGUGGUGCCCACGUUUACUUGUUCUGAUGGGACGAAAAGCCAAACUAAGAAGGGAUCAGAUGGAAGCACGAUUUUCACAACUACCUGGAUUAUUAUUUAUGGAGGGGAUGGCCUUAAAAAGGGUAAGGGAAAGAAGAGGUGCCUUGAGAAUUCAAUGCUUUAUGCAUGGCACAGUUUGAAUAUUUAUAUUUUCUCAGCUCAAAAUAGCAAAUGGAAUGUUCUUUCUCCCACCCAAAUCUUAUUGAAGAGUGGUCUUCCCACAGCCAAGUGGAUCUUUGUGCCUAUUCAUUUCCAGGGACAGAAAACCACUGUUUUUCUGUGAUCCAGUCCCCAGUGUUUAAAAGCUGGCCUGACCCCACCCCAUAGUGCCUGGCGGGGAAAGAGUUGCUUGUUUGACUGAGAACACGGCAUCUUCCGUCUCUCCUGAUGCCAGUCAAUUUCACACUUUCUUCCAAGAAAGUACACCAAAACGGAAGCACUGCCUUUCAAUUACUUUUUGCAUUAAAGACUUUAACUUGUUUAUUCCAACUGCUUUUAUUUCUUACAGUUUUGUGAAAAAGGCAGCUUCUUAAAAUGGAGUUGCCUACUGAUCUAAGCCUUGUGGCUUAGGAGAGCAUUUGUUUCCCACUGCCUGUCAACAUCUCAGCCCUCCAUGCUCCCAGCACAGGCAAAAAUGGGUUAAAAAUCAUUAAACCACCCACUUCUUACGGAAGGAACUGAGGUGUUGGGGAUGCAGAAAUAUUCUAUAAGCAGUCCUAAUCCCAAGGACAUGGAGGAAAGAACCACCACCUAUCUGUCUUCAAGGGAAAGGGAGUCCAGAGACAGCUGAGCCAAGGUCAAUGUGGCACGUUUGCAGAAGAGAGCACCUGGGUACAUCUGGGAUGGACUGGACAAAACUGGAAAUCUUAUUUAGAACCCAGCUGCAAGUUGCUGCCUUCCCUGGGAAUGAUGAACGAUGCAAGCAAGCAUUUCAAAGUAUCAGUACCAAGCCUCCACCUCAUCCAUUUUCAUAAAGACUUUCCAAAGACCUCUGACCUGACUUUACCUGUGGCUUUAAUCCUCAUUCCUACGUUGCUCCUGACACAGUUUGCAUUUCCAACCUAGUGUACCUAUCUAAGGUUGCCUAGGCUGGCACUUCCACCAUUAAUGUCUCAGCGCAAUGGCAAAGGUUUUCGUGCCAUAAAAUGUGGACUUUAUCCUGUAGCAAAUGUAGGUUUUAAAGCAAGGGAGUAGAAUGAUCAUACUUGAAAUUUAGAAAGCUUCCUGUGUGUGCCCCACAGUGUGGAAAUGUAUCUGGAUGGAUGAAACUGGGGGAUGUUACAAUGAUUCAGGUAAGAGAUGAGGGUGGAGCCAAGGUAAUGUUAGUAGAGUGGAAGGGAAUGGUAUGAGAGAGGGCAGGUCAUCAUGAAUUUGUUGUGGAGGACCAGGGUGUAAAACUGGUCAAACGUGCCUACAAGACAUCAAGUUGAGUGGAAGGUCCAGCUUUCAUAGUAGGAGAAACAAGCUUUGGAAGAAAGAUAUUGAGUUAAAUUACAGACCAGAUAAGUUGAAAUUGCCUCUGGAAAAUGCAGGUAGAGGUGUUCCCCAGAAAGCAAGACAUACGGUUGUUGAAACUGGCAAUAAAUAAUGUUUUCUUUUCUGGAUGGAAUUCCAGAAUUUGAAGAAACUAAGGCUGAGGAAAUAAACUGUGGAACAUUGAUAUUCAAAAGGCAGACAGAUGAAAAUGAAUCAGGAGAGGAAAGUAAAAAGUAGAGAAGAGAAGGGGAAAGGUUAAAAAAGAAAAGAAAAGAAAAGAAAAGAAACAUGCCACAGAAGUGAAAACAGGAGAGAAUUUCUUUGUUUAUCUCCUGGCAUGGUUGAAUGUUAAUAGCAGGUAGUGGGUGAGAGAAUAGUCUCCAGAAACAUACUGUCUGCAUCAAAUAUUGCCUUUACCAUUUAUUAAUUCUUUGAUUUGAGGCGAGAUACUUAACUCCUUUAAUGUUGGUUGUGAGUGUUAAAAUAGCUAAUACAAAAAAGCAGUUAGAACCUUGUAAGUGUAUAGUUGAGUGUAAAUAGAUAGCAGUCAACAAAUGCAACUUAAUAUUAUAAAAGAUGUUAUAGCUCCCUUUUAGAUGGUGAGAUUCUUAACGUUAAAGUCUAUUUUUUCUUGUCAUUGCUGUAGCCCCAAUACUCAGUGAAGGAAACAUAGUUGACAUUGUGCAGUUAUUUUAAUAUUAAAACAAUUGUUGUUCACUUCCAGCAUUUAAACAAAAGAGAGAAAGAGAAGGAGAGGGAGAGGAACUAGGAUGUACAAAACCUAUGCUAAUGUUUUGUGUUGUUUUGCUUUUAAGUGCGUUUUAGCUAUGUUUUUCAACUUCUCUUAGCCAUAUAUGUUAAAAAUCCUGCAUUUUUUUUUCAUAAUGCCAGGAAAAUCUCUAAAAUUCAGACCACUGAGAAACAUCCACUACUACCACAGGGGUCACCAUCUUCUUUCCUUUGCCUUUAAAAAUUGAAGCGUAAUGUAAAUACAGUGCAAUGUAGAAAUCUGAAGUGUACAUCCAGGUCAAUUUUUAGCUGUCUGUCAAUGAGCUAAAGAUACAGAAUAUUUCUAUCACUCGGAAAGUCUUUCCAUCUUUUUCCCUAGUCAGUCUUCACAACACAAGUAUUCAUUAUGCUGACUUCUGUCAUACCAUGCUCUAUAUGUUCUUGAAUUUCAUAAAUUGACUCAUACACCGCGUACUUUUCAACUCCACAGAAUGUUUUUGAGCUUUACUCACGUGGUUUUAUGGUCCGUUGUUCAUUCCUUGUCAUUGCUGUGUAAUAUUCCAUCGUGUGAUUUAUAACGAUGGGUUUGUCGAGAUGAAGCAGCUGUCCUUUUCGUGAGGGUUGAUCAGACUGCAGUGUGCAAUCACUAAGAAUGUGGGAGUUCUUGCAGAAUUAUCCCACUCCUUUGAAGAUUCCUGACUUCAAACCACAGAGGUGAUCAUCAUGUGACCUGGUUCACAGAAAGAAAAAAAUAAAAGGGAUUUGGGGGUGGGGGUGGGCAGGAGAGACAGCAACGCUGUCAAUUUCUUCUCUCUGAGGAGCUUAAAUACCCUUCCCAUCAUCUCCUUGUUUUAAGGAACAAUGAAGAAUAACUUUCUGGGUCCCUUGGGUGUUUUAAUUAAGUAGCCACAAAAAGUGCUAGCUAGAAAAGUCUAUAGCGACUUAUAUACAGAAGUGAUAAUAUUUUAGAAUGGGCAGUUUGGGGUUAGGGCUGGAAAAUAGUUCUCAUAUCUCCUAAUCCAAUACCUGUUUUAGGUGAAACUUUGAUUUGGAGAACCAAAUAUGUCUAGCUGUACCCUCUUUUAAGUUAUUUUACACCCAAAGCCCAGCCUAGCCCUUGUGGAGUAGACAUCUGUCAGGACAGCUGCCUGGAGGCUGCAUGCUGGAGACGGAUGGAGGCAGGGGUGCAGAGAGGGACUACACAUUUACCUCUGAAAGCCUGCCAUGAAAGAUUGUCUGGAUUUCUGCUUAAAAGUAGUUUAUUUAUAAGAUGAACUAGCUGAAUUUGAUACAACUGCAUAUAUUCAUUACCAAAAUUUGAUGUCAUCUUUCCAAGCUCACCUUUUAAUUUAUAAUCAAAGCACAAAGAAAUAGGUUUACAAAUGUAAUAUAAGCACAAAUGUUGCAUGUAAUUGUAAAAUAUCGGUACAUGAUAAAAUUGGACAUACCAUGUGGCUUCAUUUGGAUGAAAUUACUUUAAUUAAAAUGAGAAAGCAUUGAAUAA